rnacentral:rRNA from 1 species
GACGAACGCUGGCGGCGUGCUUAACACAUGCAAGUCGAGCGGUAACAGGUGUAGCAAUACAUGCUGACGAGCGGCGGACGGGUGAGUAACGCUUGGGAAUCUGCCUAUUAGUGGGGGACAACCCGGGGAAACUCGGGCUAAUACCGCAUACGCUCUACGGAGGAAAGCCGGGGACCGCAAGGCCUGGCGCUAAUAGAUGAGCCCAAGUCGGAUUAGCUAGUUGGUAGGGUAACGGCCUACCAAGGCUACGAUCCGUAACUGGUCUGAGAGGACGACCAGUCACACCGGAACUGAGACACGGUCCGGACUCCUACGGGAGGCAGCAGUGGGGAAUAUUGGACAAUGGGGGAAACCCUGAUCCAGCGACGCCGCGUGGGUGAAGAAGGCCUGCGGGUUGUAAAGCCCUUUCAGUGGGGGAAGAAAAGCCUCGACCUAACACGUCGGGGUCUUGACGUAACCCAUAGAAGAAGCACCGGCUAACUCUGUGCCAGCAGCCGCAGUAAG